AGCAGCCGCGGUAAUUCCAGCUCCAAUAGCGUAUAUUAAAGUUGUUGCAGUUAAAAAGCUCGUAGUUGAAUUUCGGGAUUGACACAUCGGUCGUGCCUUAAGGGGUAUGAACUGGUGUAGUCAAUUUCUCACCUUCUGGAGAACCGCGAUGCCCUUAAUUGGGUGUCGCGAGGAACCAGGACCUUUACUUUGAAAAAAUUAGAGUGUUUAAAGCAGGCAUUUUGCUUGAAUACAUUAGCAUGGAAUAAUAAAAUAGGACGGCAUGAUUCUAUUUUGUUGGUUUUAGGAUCACCGUAAUGAUUAAUAGGGAUAGUUGGGGGCAUUAGUAUUCAAUUGUCAGAGGUGAAAUUCUUGGAUUUAUUGAAGACUAACUACUGCGAAAGCAUUUGCCAAGGAUGUUUUCAUUAAUCAAGAACGAAAGUUAGGGGAUCGAAGACGAUCAGAUACCGUCGUAGUCUUAACCAUAAACUAUGCCGACUAGGAAUCAGACGAUGUUAAUUUUUUAAUGACUCGUUUGGCACCUUACG
rnacentral:rRNA from 1 species